rnacentral:rRNA from 1 species
GACGAACGCUGGCGGCGUGCUUAACACAUGCAAGUCGAACGGAAAGGCCCUGCUUUUGUGGGGUGCUCGAGUGGCGAACGGGUGAGUAACACGUGAGUAACCUGCCCUUGACUUUGGGAUAACUUCAGGAAACUGGGGCUAAUACCGGAUAGGAGCUCCUGCUGCAUGGUGGGGGUUGGAAAGUUUCGGCGGUUGGGGAUGGACUCGCGGCUUAUCAGCUUGUUGGUGGGGUAGUGGCUUACCAAGGCUUUGACGGGUAGCCGGCCUGAGAGGGUGACCGGCCACAUUGGGACUGAGAUACGGCACAGACUCCUACGGGAGGCAGCAGUGGAGAGUAUUGCACAAUGGGCGGAAGCCUGAUGCAGCAACGCCGCGUGCGGGAUGACGGCCUUCGGGUUGUAAACCGCUUUCGCCUGUGACGAAGCGUGAGUGACGGUAAUGGGUAAAGAAGCACCGGCUAACUACGUG